AACGAACGCUGGCGGCAUGCCUAACACAUGCAAGUCGAACGAGACCUUCGGGUCUUGUGGCGCACGGGUGCGUAACGCGUGGGAACCUGCCCUUAGGUUCGGAAUAACUCCCCGAAAGGGGUGCUAAUACCGGAUAAUGUCUUCGGACCAAAGAUUUAUCGCCUUUGGAUGGGCCCGCGUUGGAUUAGCUAGUUGGUAGGGUAAAAGCCUACCAAGGCGACGAUCCAUAGCUGGUCUGAGAGGAUGAUCAGCCACACUGGGACUGAGACACGGCCCAGACUCCUACGGGAGGCAGCAGUAGGGAAUAUUGGACAAUGGGCGAAAGCCUGAUCCAGCAAUGCCGCGUGAGUGAUGAAGGCCUUAGGGUUGUAAAGCUCUUUUACCCGGGAUGAUAAUGACAGUACCGGGAGAAUAAGCUCCGGCUAACUCCGUG
rnacentral:rRNA from 1 species